GUCUAUGGCCAUGCUACCCUGAGCAAGCCUGAUCCCGUCUGAUCACAGAAGCUAAGCAAGGUUCGGCCUGGUUAGUACUUGGAUGAGAGAACACUGAGGAAUACCAGGUGCUGUAGGUA
rnacentral:rRNA from 1 species